rnacentral:lncRNA from 1 species
CUAGCCAGAGCAGAGUCAGUGCAUCUCCCGAAGAUGUCCCACAAGGCAGUGGAGGUUUAGCAUCAGUUUUCUUUCUCUUAGAUGGGCUACCUUCCCAGGUUGGUGAGCCCUACCUGUCCCUCACUUCCUUCUACAGCAUAUGCAGAAACUGCCUUCUUGACCAAUGGACCCACCAUUAUUCUCAUCCCCUCAGUCUACUGAGCCUGUCUUCACAUGCGGGGAAGGAUUUGAGACCCAUCGACUACCCUCACCUGGUUUAGCCAGCCAGUUGAAGCUGUUCCCAGUGUGUAGCCACUGUUACAUGCUGACAGCUUCUAGGAGCCACAAAUGAGAACUGAGUACAAGGUGGAGACCAAAGAUGGACAAACCACACCAGGAGCACAAUGUGUUCCCCACCAGAGAUACCACCCCUCCCCUAACACCCCACACAACUCCCACUAACACUCAACAAUUGAUCAUAGUGGCUAGGGCUGAUGGGAGCUAGAGUGCAACAGCAUCUGGAAGGCCACAGGUUUCCCACCCCUGUUCCUAGUCCAGUGCUAUCAACUCCCAACUGGCCAGGGUUUCAGGCAGGGGUCUCUUCCAGCCAUGCUACCGGAUAACCUUUUCUUUUUUGAAACUGCAGAUUUGAUCUGUGACCUUCUGAAUCCAGAACAUGUGCUCUGCUAGGCGAUGGCCUCUUUCCAUUUAUUUAUGAUCCCUUUAGGUUUAUUAACUGCAUUAGCAAUGUCCACAGCAAUGCUAAAUAUGGUCAAUGCAAAUAAGGGAUCUUUAUCUUGCUACUAUAGAGAAGACACAGAUGCCCAUGAGAAAUAACUUAACCAAAUGAUCAGAUCUUAGUAUUUCUAAUAAUUAGUAAUUCUUGCAAAGAUGAUGUGAAAUUAGUAUUAGUAUUACCCUCAUGUUAGUAUUACCAUAAUGUAUUGAAGAUGAUAUGGUUGAAAUGGUUCCUUGUCCCAGCUUACCGAGUAUGUUCCUGAGUGAUGUCAAUUUUGAUCUAGGAUUUCCUGGUUCAUAGCUCACUAGGCUGUACUGCAGUGUCACAUUUUAAACCUAGGAUUGGGUAGCUCUUAUUGAUCUCCAAGUCCUAUCAGCUCCAGCCAGCAUGGCCAACGAUUGGGGAUGAUGGGAGUACUAGUUCAGAAACAUCUGGAGGGACACAGGUUCUCCAUCUCUGUUUAAAAACUAAUACAGUUUUGAAGAUGAUAGAUAGAUAGAUGGAUAUAGAUAUAUGAUAGAUAAUUUGCUGUCAGUGCACAAGAAUGCUUCUCCAAGAGGUUUUGCACUCAUUCUAAAAAUUGUUGCGUUAUAAAUUUCCCAGACCAUCAUUUUAUUGCUCCAAAUAAACUGUAAGAUGCAAUCCUGGAUUGCGAGUGCAAAGGGCUCUUGAGAAAAACCCAAGCAGGGUUUCUUUGUAGAAGCAUCAUGCUGUUAUAUGUUGAUUGGGAGCACAGGGAUGAAUUUGAGCCAAGAUGCACUGAGCCUUUACUGCUGAACCUCUUGUUUCCUGUCUAAAUUUUUGAUCUGCUUCAUCUCUAAGGCUGCUACAACAUUUUUUUAAAAAAACCCAACAACAACCCUGUCAAGCUAAAAUAACCAGUUGUUGGUACAUUUUUAUUUCUUUUUUUCUGGUGCAUUUUUCAAAAAGUCUCAGCAUAAUCUACCUCACAGGAAUGUUGUGAGAAUAACAUGGCAUAACUGCAUGGCUUGAGCUCCUUGAAAGAGGGGCAGUGAUCAAUAAAACCUGGCUCCUGUUUAACUCAAGGCAUUAACCCAAGUCCAAACAAGAAAGCCUUACAGCUUUUCUAGAAAAGAUGUUCAGAUGCACGUUGGCGAACCUUCAAGAUAAAGGAAUUGCCCUGUCAUGGACCUGCUACUGGGAAUUCUCUGUUCAUGCCCUAGGAGCUCAAAGAUGGGGAACCUGUGCUUCUUCAUGGCUUGGACACAUAAACUGUUUUAAUUGUCAAAGCUCUGCACUGGAAGCAAUAAUUUGAGAGGUCUUCUGAUUAUGUGCAGAGUAAUUUUUCAGUGCCGCUGAAUAACUGUUAUAUGCCUCUUCCCUCUUCAACCACCUGCCUUCAGUGUCAAAGCAUACGCCACUAUUUAAGAGGGAAAGUGUUCCUGAUCUCACUGUGCUCCAAUAAAACUAGUAGAUAUGGAACUCCUCAGAGGAGCACUACCACCUUGAAGAGCAUGGGAGGGGUGAGCUGCGGGCAAAGCUGGACUCCCUUUAGGGCAGAAGGUACUUAAUGCAUAAAUAGUCUGAACGACUGUAAUUUUGCAUUUCCGCCUCAUUAGCCAGAUCAAUAUACAACAGUUACCCUUCACCUCAACUGCAUCGUUAGCCUAUCUGUAAUUUGCCUGCUAUUAAGUACUCUCUGGCUCUUGGCAUGCAGCAGUUGGGGGCAUGAGAGGGUGAUAGAGGCUAUAGUGGGCAGGCAAGGGAGGUGUGAUGCAGCUCAGACUAUGAUAAAAAAUACCAGUUCAACUCCCAGUUGCAACCUGAAGCCAAAGGAGAGAUGAUUAAACCAUGCAGAUGGACAGCUGGUCUCUUUCUAUGUUCUCUGCAGCACUUUGGACAGCACUACACAUUUCAUAUUCUGGUUCCAAACUACAGGCCUUGGGUGCUAGUCAAUGUUAGCUCCACUCAGAAUAGAUCCAUUAAAAUUAAUAUACAUGACUAAAUUUUGGUGUGUCUAUUCCUGAGUAGAGCUUUUUGAACACAACCCUUUGCAGGGUCACCCGUCCACAUCUUGUAUUUGCUGACCUAUUAUAUAAUUCCAGUGUAUGCCUAUCACUUUAAUCCUCUUAUGUAAGUUGUUUUGUAAAAUUGGCCUGCAAAGCUGUAUAUAAAUAUCGUAAAAAUGAAUACAAAAGGGUAAACUAUCACAGAAAACACUGGCCUCCCCCUCAAUCUAGUUGAUGAAAGCUUCACUUUAUAGUUGAUCAGUGUGAACAUGAGUGCACAUCCUUCCUGAGCAAAGCCUUGAAAGGUUUAGACUGACUGUUUUAGCAUGGCCUUGUAUCCAAGCCUGUACUGGAUUAUUGGAGGAUUGCACUGGGGAAGAUGCAUAAACAGAUUGGUGGUGAGAGAGAGAGGAGAGAGAGAGAGAGAAAGAGAGAGAGAGAGAGAGAGAGAGAGAGAGAUUGAGGGAUGGAUGGAUGGAUGCAACAGUUCCCGAAGUUCUGUGAUACGUUACUGUGACCAAGAAACUAAAUGGAGGAUAAGCAUAUGCAGAGAUAGGAGGCAGAAGCUUAUAUAACAGAAGCUUAUAUAAGCAGAUGUGAGAAAAGGUAUAAGCCCUGUGGGAUUGGGCCACUGGGUGCAGAGAACAAGCUUAACUAUCAUCCCAGUGACAUCUCCAAAUCAGUGUUUGAAACUCCCAUUGAGGACCUUUUUCUGCCUCAUCAAUUCUAACUACUCUCUGAAGACUGGAGAAGAGACCCUCUUAAGAAUAUUAGGGGGUCAUGCAGGGGAAGGACUAGACCGUGUGAAAAAUGAACAUAAUAUUUUAGCGGCAGUUCAUUCAUUUUCAGCUUUGUGUUCUUGCUAUUUAAAAAAGUGUGCUUAGACAUUCCAUUGUUGUGCCCAUAACCUAGGUUUAAGGUGCCAUUUAGCUACUAGUUUUCAUAUCUCAGUUUCUAACAUUGCUCCAAAUGUUUCCUCUUUAUAUUCUCCCACAUCAGUGCAUGGCAACCUUUCACUCCCGUUGGAGAAAAUGAAGCCCAGCAUUUUGGGGCUCUCUAGCAUUGAGGCCAAAUCUUGUCUGCCACCUUUGAUGCACAGUGGCCUGGCCCUCCCUGGCAGAGAUUCACAACAUGGUGCAAUGUAACUGUGUGUAAAACUCCCAGAAAUUAUUGCAACACACAAGCUCCCUCCCUCCACAUAUCCACAAGUAACUUUAUAAAUGAAUAACUAUGGGCCAAAGUUAAGCCCCUUUAAGCCUCAUGCAUUUAAAGAAGACACAUUUAAACUUGUGCUUUAAAUCACCAUUUCAAGUCAAUGGGAUUUAAAAGUGCUCUGUGACGUUUGUUGGGUUUUUCCCACAUUGCCUGUUGUCUGCCCUGCCUUGGUGUAAUCAAGGAGAUGUGGAGGGUGGCAUUUACACCUGUCCCCACUGGCCUGUGCGCCACACACUCUGAGCUCCACCCACCCCAUGCAUGAAAGAGUAGUUUUUCUACUUUCCAACUGUACAAUUCAAGAAGAACAAACCCAAUGGGGACAGCUGGUCCCCAGCAGGUUCGUGCUGAGGAGGAAAAUGUGCCCUGGGAGGAGUUGGCUUGGCAAGCUCUGAAUGCCCCCUGCACCACCCCAAUAUUUCCUGGCCUGCCUGCAAACACCACCUUUAUAAUUAGAAGCUCCUUGCCUGCUGGGCCCUCUGUAGAGAUCAAAUGCUUCCCUUCAGCGCCAACAUCCUACAGCCGCGUGUCUGCACGGAAUACAAAGCACCACUUAACAGUUGCGCCUCAUGCUCUGCAUGAAAAGCUCCUGGAAACAUGGCCUUUCUGCGGAGCUGAUAAUCAAGGGACUUGUUGCUUGGGGAAUGCAGAAAGCCUUGCGGUGUAGAAAGAAAAGAGCGGGCGAAACCAAUCAUACGGCAUCCUUUGUUGAAAUGCCUGGUUCAAAAAGGGGAGGGAAUUGAAAUGAGAACCAGUUCCUCAUGUGUUGGAGAGAGACUGUUCUGUAAUCACAUGGGGAUAGCGGGCUCCCAUCAGGGGGCCAUGCCUGGAUGCGGCACAGGCCCAUUGUAUGCUUAUGGGCAUUUCUGUCUGCCCUGUCACACUUCACAGAGGUUUCUGUGGGUGGUGGCUAAAUUUCUCCUCCUGGCUGCAAAAACACAAAAGGAAGUCUCCCCUGAUUAAACCUAUCCUGUCUGGCUGUUGUUACAAAUUUUAAUUUGUUUAUUUAUUCAUUUUAACCGACAUUUAGGUACCUUUCAUAUUGGAAGGUAUUGGGUUGCAUAGCAUAUUUUAGAUAUGUUUCAGAUAUUCCAGACAUCUCAAAUAUGUAUUACAGCCAUUUUAAAGUACUUUGUAUGUUCUGAUAUUUUUACCUGUAUGGUUAUUGUUUUAAUUUUGUUUGGGUCUUUGAAUACAUAAUAAGGAGAUUAAAUUGUCACUGUGAACAUCUUUCUUAUUACGCGAGUGUGAGACACACCUCUCUCCCUCCCCAGCACACACUCUUGGUCACUCUCAGCCUGGGGCAGCUCCCCUGUCCCAAUGCUGGGAUAACCCAUUGGCCUUUCCUCGUUGGCAUGAUUUAAAGAGAUUAAAUUGUCACUGUGAACAUUGGCACCAGUGCUGUUUCCAGGACUCUUGAACAGUUGAUUUUAGCGGGUUGCUCUCCCUGUGUGCACCCACUUCCUCUUUCUUGGCACUGUUGAUGCAGUCCGUUCAUUUGGCUCCCUUUCUCCCUCUCUAGGCCCAGUACAUACUGCUACUGCCCUAGGAGAGAGAUUGGACAAGGUAUGCAGUGGUUGGUGCUCUUCUCAUUACCUCCUCACUUGUCAACACCUAUUUAAAAUGCAUGGCUUCCUGCAAAGAAUCCUGGGAACUGUACUUUCCACCUUCACAAAGCUUCAGUUCCCAGUACCCUUAACAAGCUACCGUUCCCAGGAUUCUUUGCAGGAAGCCAUGCACUUUAAAUGGAGAUUUAGUCUGCUUUAAAUAGAUGGUGUGGAUCUGGAAGGCAUAGCAAGGAAGAGGAGCAGCACUAGGACUGAUAGUGGGCCCUUGACUGGGGUGUGGGCCUUGAACCCAAACCACUGGUGCAGAAUUUGGCAGCCAGUUGCUCACUGGGACAAAACGGUUUGAACAUAUUACACUGAUCCUGGCCAGGCUGCAAAGUUUCCAGGCCAAAUUCAAAGUGCUGGUUUUGACCUGUAAAGCCGUAAACGGCUCAGGACCUCAAUACCUCAAGGAUGGCCUCUCUCCAAAAAGUAAAUGUGCAUGAAAGGUCAGCUGAGCAUGUGCAGGGUACUGGGAACUGCCAGCCUUUAUGCAUAUCUGGGAUAAAUUAAGGAGAGCUUCUAGACUGGAGGGUGAACUUUGAACUAAUUACUGACAAUGAUAUUCCCCACUCCCAGCCCCUACUUUUUAACCCAGAAUACCAACCUCUCAAUACCGUACUGUCUUGUUGCUGCUCUGUUGCAUGAGGAAUGAGACUAUCUGACCCAGUGAGACCUCUCCUCGUGGUAAUGGACCAUCAAGUUAAUCACCAACAAGCAGUGUGGCCUGCAGAAAAGUGCCCC